rnacentral:rRNA from 1 species
GUGGGGAAUAUUGCACAAUGGGGGAAACCCUGAUGCAGCGACGCCGCGUGAGUGAAGAAGUACUUCGGUAUGUAAAGCUCUAUCAGCAGGGAAGAAAAUGACGGUACCUGAGUAAGAAGCCCCGGCUAACUACGUGCCAGCAGCCGCGGUAAUACGUAGGGGGCAAGCGUUAUCCGGAUUUACUGGGUGUAAAGGGAGCGCAGACGGUUGCGCAAGUCUGAAGUGAAAUCCCGAGGCUUAACCACGGGACUGCUUUGGAAACUGUGCGACUUGAGUAUCGGAGGGGCAGGCGGAAUUCCUAGUGUAGCGGUGAAAUGCGUAGAUAUUAGGAAGAACACCGGUGGCGAAGGCGGCCUGCUGGACGAAAACUGACGUUGAGGCUCGAAGGCGUGGGGAGCAAACAGGAUUAGAAACCCUAGUAGUCC